GAUUUAUACCUAAGGUUAAAAAUACAAAGUUAUAAAUACCUAAUACAAGGUUCUCCAUAACGUUUUCUUCAAAUAACAGUAAAAAGAAAUUGAAGCAUCAAUAUAGAAAACAAUUUAUGAGCGUAUGAAAUUUAAUUUUUUAUGUAAUGGCGUGAAAUAACUAUAUGUUACAAUUUAUAGGUAAUAAUAUAAUAUAAUAUAAUUAUUAAUUAUUCUAGACAGACAAAUCAUCUCCGUCCAAGUUCGUUUUUCGUAUACAAUGGUACCUGUCGUUGUAUUCAAAUUUAACAUAUCCAUUAUACCUAAUAGUGACCUACUCACCAUCUCUACUAUACAGCAGAGCAAUACCCACUUGCCCACCCUGUUUAAAUAUAUAAAUUUAAAUUAUCUACUGAGAUUAGUAAAUUAAUCUCUAUGAUAUAUUGGUAGGUGUCUAUGUAUAAAAAAAACAAAUGUCUUUUAUUAUUGUUUAUUUAAAAGUUCAUUUCAGGUUAUUCAGUUAGUUUUCACCUUUCAAGCAUUUCCAGAUUCUGAGUGAUUCAGCAAACAUCGUGUAUUUUUUAUGCGUUGGAAUUGGAAUUGUACUUGGCAUUGUUUUCUCGUACAUAAAAUAAUUGAAAGGAUAUAUUAUCUACAAAUAAUAUAGUAUCAUAUUUCGCCGCGACCUUUUCUUCGCCGCUGGACCUUUCACCGCCGGGCCAUUAGAAGUCCGUGAACACCGUGACGAGGACGGCUGGCUGGACUUACCUGACGUGUGGUCAGGGGUAAGGACACCGCCGGAGGAGAAGAGGAGGGAGGUGCGGCUAGCGAGGAACUUCCUGAAGAGUAAGAAAAAGGCUAUGGCGCUUGUUCGCCAACAAUAUCGGCUAGCGAAGCUCCAUAAGCAGACUUGGAACCCGGAAGCUGCCAGCACAACCGGCCUUCAAGAGGAACUAACUCGCAUUGCGGAUGAUGUCCAGAACGAUGACCAAAAUGGCGAAUCCCGAAUUGUAUUACAAAAAGACCACAACGCAAUACAAUGACCAUGACGAAAUAAAAUGAUAAUUUAUUAUGUCAUCACAGCGACAUGAGUAUUAAAUAAUAUAAAUUAGAUUAAUUUUGUACUAUAAUCUCGAUUACAAUAUAUAUUUAUUUUGUUAUAUUUA